GAGUCUGUAGCUCAGUUGGUUAGAGCGCUGCACCGGAAUUGCAGGGCUGCAGGUUCGAUUCCUGCCAGAGGUU
rnacentral:tRNA from 1 species